UGGGGAAUAUUGCACAAUGGGGGAAACCCUGAUGCAGCGACGCCGCGUGAGCGAAGAAGGUUUUCGAAUCGUAAAGCUCUGUCCUAUGGGAAGAUAAUGACGGUACCAUAGGAGGAAGCCCCGGCUAACUACGUGCCAGCAGCCGCGGUAAUACGUAGGGGGCAAGCGUUGUCCGGAAUCACUGGGCGUAAAGGGUUCGCAGGCGGAAAUGCAAGUCAGUUGUGAAAGGCAGAGGCUCAACCUCUGUAAGCAAUUGAAACUGUAUUUCUUGAGAUGUGGAGAGGCAAGUGGAGUUCCUAGUGUAGCGGUGAAAUGCGUAGAUAUUAGGAAGAAUACCGGUGGCGAAGGCGACUUGCUGGACACAAACUGACGCUGAGGAACGAAAGCGUGGGUAGCAAACAGG
rnacentral:rRNA from 1 species